rnacentral:misc_RNA from 1 species
AACUGAUACUACCUGCGGGAACCUGCGGAAGGAUCAUUACUGAGUGCGGGCCCUCUGGGUCCAACCUCCCACCCGUGUCUAUUAUACCUAGUUGCUUCGGCGGGCCCGCCGUCAGGCCGCCGGGGGGCUUCUGCCCCCGGGCCCGCGCCCGCCGAAGACCCCAACAUGAACCCUGUUCUGAAGGUUUGCAGUCUGAGUUGAUUCUUGUAAUCGUUAAAACUUUUAGCAACGGAUCUCUAG